CCUACGGGAGGCAGCAGUGAGGAAUAUUGGUCAAUGGGAGAGAUCCUGAACCAGCCAAGCCGCGUGAGGGAAGACGGCCCUAUGGGUUGUAAACCUCUUUUGUCGGAGAACAAAACCCGGGACGUGUCCCGGACUGCGUGUAUCCGAAGAAAAAGCAUCGGCUAACUCCGUGCCAGCAGCCGCGGUAAUACGGAGGAUGCGAGCGUUAUCCGGAUUUAUUGGGCGUAAGGCGAGCGCAGGCGGUUGCUUAGG
rnacentral:rRNA from 1 species